rnacentral:rRNA from 1 species
GAACGCUGGCGGCGUGGAUUAGGCAUGCAAGUCGGACGGUAGGGCUUUAUCGUAAGAUAGAGUUUGAGAGUGGCGAACGGGUGAGUAACACGUAGGAAUCUACCCUUAACGACGGGGACAACCCAGGGAAACUUGGGCUAAUACCGGAUGAGAGUGCGAGAGAUUGCAUUUAAAAGGAUGGCGAAAGUUGUCGCUUAGGGAUGAGCCUGCGGUCUAUUAGUUAGUUGGUGAGGUAAGAGCUCACCAAGGCGAUGAUAGAUAGGCGGCCUUAACGGGUGGUCGCCCACACUGGGAUUGAGAUACGGCCCAGACUCCUACGGGAGGCAGCAGUCGAGAAUAGUCUACAAUGGCCGGAAGGCUGAUAGUGCGACGCCGCGUGAACGAGGGAGCCCUUCGGGGUGUAAAGUUCUUUUCUGUACGAGCAGUGCUAUAUAUAUGGAUAGUAUAUAUAGAGGGAUAGUAGUAUAGGAAUAAGCAACGGCUAACUCCGUG